GGAAUAUUGGACAAUGGGCGAAAGCCUGAUCCAGCAAUGCCGCGUGAGUGAUGAAGGCCUUAGGGUUGUAAAGCUCUUUUACCAGGGAUGAUAAUGACAGUACCUGGAGAAUAAGCUCCGGCUAACUCCGUGCCAGCAGCCGCGGUAAUACGGAGGGAGCUAGCGUUGUUCGGAAUUACUGGGCGUAAAGAGUACGUAGGCGGUGAUUCAAGUCAGAGGUGAAAGCCUGGAGCUCAACUCCAGAACUGCCUUUGAAACUAGAUCGCUAGAAUUGUGGAGAGGUUAGUGGAAUUCCGAGUGUAGAGGUGAAAUUCGUAGAUAUUCGGAAGAACACCAGUGGCGAAGGCGACUAACUGGACACAUAUCGACGCUGAGGUACGAAAGCGUGGGGAGCAAACAGGAUUAGAUACCCUGGUAGUCCACGCCGUAAACGAUGAUAACUAGCUGUUCGGGGUCUACGAUCCUGAGUGGCGCAGCUAACGCAUUAAGUUAUCCGCCUGGGGAGUACGGUCGCAAGAUUAAAACUCAAAUGAAUUGACGG
rnacentral:rRNA from 1 species